GGAAUUGUGGCUCAGUGGUAGAGAGCUCACCUCACAUGUGUGAGGCCCUGGGUUCAAUCCUCAGCAUCA
rnacentral:tRNA from 1 species